GACCUCCACCGCAGCUCACGGCAACGCCGGAUCCUUAACCCACUGAACAAGGUCGGGGAUCGAAUCUGUGUCCUCAUGAAUGCUAGUCAGAUUCGUUUCUGCUGAGCCAUGACAGGAACUCCAUAGGGAAAGGUUUUUAAUGACAGGGUGAAGGAGAGGGUUGCAGGAUGUGUGAUCAGCUCAUGGACAUUUUUCCUUUAAAAUUUUUUUAAAUUAAAUGUUAUUGUAGUUGAUUUGCAAUGUUGUGUUAAUUUCUGCUUUUCAGCAAAGUGACUCAGUUGUAGACUUACUCUAUAUGUAUACUUAAUCUUUUCCAUUAUGGUUUAUCACAAGAUAAUGAAUACAGUUUCCUGUGCUAUGCAUCCAAUAUAUAAUAGUUUGCCUUUGCUAAUCCCAAACUCCCUCCCAAUCCACUCCCACCCCAAACUCAUGGACAUUCUUCUGAUUGGUUGGUAGCGAGGUCAUUGGAAGUCAGCAUCAUCAACUUUCUGGUUCCAACUAAUCUGGGGUCUAUGAACUUGUGGGCAGCAUACAAAGUUCUUCCUGGUAAGGGUUUCAGAAUCUGCAAAACAGCUGAAAGAAUUUGGCUUAGGAUAUUAUCCACAGUCCUUAAGGAGGAACUGAAAGUCCUUGACUGUGUUUAAUGACUAAAAUAUCAUUAUUUUGUCUUACUUGACUGUUUUCCUUUGUUUUCUGCAUUUUCUCACUUAUCUGAUUUAAUUUAUUCUUUGAAACUUGGGGAAGGCCUAGGAGGCUAAAGUUUUUCUAUAAACACAAGGCAGGUGGGGGAUGGGGGCGGGGUUGGGGGAGGUGUCUGUCCCAGGAAUGUGCCAUGGCAUCCUGCUCAACUACAAAGUGACAAUACUGAAAUUUUUUUUCAGUCACUUAUAUGUAAAUAAUAAAACCUAAACUUUUUCUGCCUAAUACAAAAUAAUAUGACUGAUGCAAAUGCCAGUGACUUCAGUCAUGGUAGAGCUUUUCUUGCUAGACUGUUACAAGUAUCUACAGGGCUGUUGCUAAUAUAAACUCAGACUUGUCCCACAAAGCCCUUGUAUGAUUGUCUAUUUAGUGCUGUGAUAUUUCUCAGCAAAAUCUAAUAUUUGAGCUGAAAUUUCUACCACUUGACUAGAAAGACUAAAAUAGUUCUACCCCCUGUUAAACUUUCUCCUGCUGUGUAAUAACCCUUGCUCCCUACAGUUACUACUCAAAACUCUAGUCUCGGAAUCAGUAAAACCUGUUAUUUUCCUUAGUUUAUUAUGUUUCAGAGGAAGGCAGGACUGCUUUGGGGAGUUAUUUCCAUUAUGUGUGAAUGAAGAUCACAUGGUUUCUAAAUUCUAGAGCAAGACCCUGAAAAUGCACAGGGAUUACCUCUUGGAGCUCCAGCAUCAACCUACUCGCCAUUGGAUCGAGCUGUAACCCAGAGCUGUGCCAUGGGCUAUGAUGUAGUGUUUAGGCUAGAUGACAUGGUUUGCUCAAGAACACAGUUUUACUUGAUGGUGAUAUUUUUUCUGAUUGUUUUUUAACCCAGCAGUUGUGACUCUUGGAGCAAAAGCAGCGGCCUUACCUGACCAGGGAAUUCAGUGCACACUCUCGGCUGCCUGAUUCAGGUUCCCAAACAACAAGCCAUGCAGGCCCUGGCUACUUUCCUGCUGCUGUGCCAGGGCAGGGAAGUUGGUUGAAUCCAUGAAUGUGGAACCCACAGAUACAGAAGACUGACUGUAUAUGCAGAUCGUCUAAACUGGAACACUUGAGAGAAUAAACAGGGGCACUAUUGAUAAUUAUGCCAGGACAAUGGAUAUAAAUUGGUUCUUCCAGCUGUGGACUUGCUUUGUUCCUCCUGCCUCCUGGAUAAACAGUAAGCUGCCAAUCCUAGAAUCACCCCUGCUUCCUGACAACAUCCAAACCAGAGCAUAGCCCCACUUCCUUGAACCAUCUGCAGAAUCACCAAACACAGGCCUAAGCUCCUUUUCACACUGGCUUAUGGAGGGUAUGCAGUCUCUCUCAUUGCACCUCGUCUGUGAACCCACAGCUGACUCUAGGUGUGUUCUGGUGAUUUUGAUUCAAAGGCACUAUCAAGAGGCUGGCUCUGAGGUAGACCAUGUGGUGGCGAUCCAUGUGGAAGCCUAGGAGUUUUUACCCUGCCAUUCACUUUCUCUGUUGUAGAGAAAGCCAUUUACAUAUUUGGAUCUUCAGUACUUAAAGGCUGACAAGAAUUUCUUCAUUGCCUGAAAGAACAUGGCAUGUGAGGGCCUUUCAGAGAUUGAUCUGACUGGGGCAGAGUAUUUCUUUCUAAAGCACUGGAGGGUGAGGGCACCCAUGAGGAAAUGUUUGAGUUCCAGGCAAUCGAUGUUGAGGAGAGAAUGUGGGUCGGUCCUAGCUCUACUUCUUACCCAGUGUGUGAUGUGGAGCAGGUUUCUUAACCUCCUUGAGCUGCAGAGUCUGCAUCUGAGGAAUGAUGCAGACUCUGCAGCUAUAGUUAAUAGUACCCCAGUGAGCCUUACCUCACAGGCUUGAAUGCUUGAAAAGAGCAUGUAAAUCAUCCAGCACUCCUAGUACACAGGGGCUGUGGGGAAUCAGCAGAUGUGCCAUCUCUUCCUUCCCAGCCGACAGUGGACAGCCACUGUAGAUUCCUGAAAGGAAAGUGGCCCAAGGGCAAUAGGUGUUUUAGGGAAAUAGACCAAAACGGAGAGGGCAUAGGCCAGUCUAGUUGAUAAUGGGACACUCUAGCUUGCAUGGCCCCUGCCAACCACUGCAAAGAUAGCAUCACAUUCUCAAAAGAAGUGCAGUUGUCCCAGCUAGACAAGGGGGACAAAUGAAUGAUGAGGGCAUGCCAUGCAGGGUGUGCCAAGCAGCAAGCCUCAGUGGGACAGGGUGGAAGAAAUAUUAGGGACACUUUCAGAAAGGCAGCCAAACUCUGGGCUGCUGGGGACAGCAAGAGAAACAGAUCCCUUUGGAGUGCAGCAGUCAUUGGAAGAAUGCCCACAUCUAACCUUCAGGUCCAUGGGCCAUAACACCUUCCACUUUUGCAUUGUUGCCAGGGCUUUGCUGUCACACACAAAAGGGCUACUUCUAACAGGAAGGGUGACACUGAGCUCUAAAGGUCAGUUCCAGCCUUCUUCCUCAUUUAACUGUAGGGCGGUAACCAAAGCAGGCCAUUCUACUUUAGCCCAAGAGCAAUUGACUCCAAGGAGGAGAAAAUAGAUGACUGAUGUAAAGAGUUACAUUUUGCAACCACUCUCUUCACCAGUUCAACUUCUGGUAGUUUUUGAAUUUUGUAGUUAACAGUACCCCAGUGAGCCUUUAAGCUAGCACAUCCUUCCCUUAGCAAGGAGUUUUCGGAUUUAGAGCGUUUAUAUUUAAAAACAAUCAAAACAUCAGAAUGAUUUGUGAAUGACCUAAAAAAAAUCCAAUAUGUAUAUUAGCUGCAGAUGGUGUACAAGAGAACAAAGUUAAGUCAAUAGAAAGUUGCCCUGUGAUUUGAAUCAUCACAUCGACAUUUAUUGGGCACCUACUUUCUACAAGACUGGGCACUGAGGAAUUAAAAGAUGAACAAGUCAGUAUCUGCCUUCAUAGAAUUUGUCAUCUAGUGGAGAGGCUGAAAGUAUACCAACAAGUCUAAUGCAAGGGCAUAAGAAUGCACCCAAAUCACCAUGGUAACAAGAAGAUGAUUACAUUUACUAGAAAAAUCAAGGUUUUAAAAGAAGAAGAGGGUCUUGAGGACUUCUUUUUUUUUUUUUUUUUUUUUUUUUUUUUUUUGU